GAAUUUUCCACAAUGGGGGCAACCCUGAUGGAGCAACGCCGCGUGCAGGAGGAAGGCCUUCGGGUUGUAAACUGCUUUUAUCUGUGAUGAUUAUGACAGUAGCAGAAGAAUAAGGAUCGGCUAACUCCGUGCCAGCAGCCGCGGUCAAACGGAGGAUCCAAGCGUUAUCCGGAAUUACUGGGCGUAAAGAGUUGCGUAGGUGGCAUAGAAAGCAAGCAGUGAAAGCCCACGGCUCAACCGUGGAAACAUUGUUUGAACUCCUAAGCUAGAGCACGAGAGAGGUAACUGGAAUUCCCAGUGUAGGAGUGAAAUCCGUAGAUAUUGGGAGGAACACCGAUGGCGUAGGCAGGUUACUGGCUCGUUGCUGACACUAAGGCACGAAAGCGUGGGGAGCGAACGGG
rnacentral:rRNA from 1 species